rnacentral:lncRNA from 1 species
AAAUAAAAAAAAAAAAAAAAAAAAAAAAAAAAAAAAAAAAAAAAAAAAAAAGGGGGGGGGGCCACGUCAGCAGCCACGUCAGCAGGCCCGGUCAGCAGUCCCGGCCAACCAGGGCCUGCCACGUGGCAAGAUCGCGUCACUCCGAAAGGAGCCACGUUGGCGAUCCGCGUGGGUGCGAUCCGACGGCCCAGAUCAAUCGCGCGAUCGGACGGCCCAGAUUCAAACGCACGGACGGCCCAGAUUCAAUCAAAAACGAACGGCCCAGAUUAAAACGAAAUGAACGGCUGUGAUCAAAAGGCAAGAAGUUAUAAAUAGAACCCCCACACCAGACCACAAACCCUAACCGCCAGCCGCUCGCCGGAGAAGACGAACCAGAGGCCGACCGCCGCCACCCGCCGCCACUCGCCGCCGCACCAGGGAAAUUUCCGACCGCCGAUCGAGGUAAAUUUCAUACCCUCGACUCGUUUUUCCACGCUGAUUUCCUUAGUGGCCAAAUCGAAGCCGAAAUCCCGGCCAAACGGCCGGAAUACGCGGCCGAAGCCCAGCGGCGCCGCCGCGCCCCCUCUCGGUUUUUGCCUCCGACGAGGCCCUUCCCGGCCUCCGUUCGAUGCAAUUUUUAUAUCACCGUGAUCACCAUUCUUUUCUCUACAGG